rnacentral:rRNA from 1 species
GACGAAGGGGGCUAGCGUUGUUCGGAAUUACUGGGCGUAAAGCGCGUGUAGGCGGUUGUUCAAGUCGGGUGUGAAAGCCUUGAGCUCAACUCAAGAAAUGCACUCGAUACUGGAUGACUAGAGGACCGGAGAGGAUAGUGGAAUUCCCAGUGUAGUGGUGAAAUACGUAGAGAUUGGGAAGAACACCAGUGGCGAAGGCGGCUAUCUGGACGGUUUCUGACGCUAAGACGCGAAAGCGUGGGGAGCGAACAGG